rnacentral:rRNA from 1 species
UACGGGAGGCAGCAGUGGGGAAUAUUGCACAAUGGGCGAAAGCCUGAUGCAGCUAUGCCGCGUGUAUGAAGAAGGCCUUAGGGUUGUAAAGUACUUUCAUCGGGGAGGAAAAAACAAAACUAAUAAUUUUAUUUCUUGACGUUACCCGAAAAAGAAGCACCGGCUAACUCCGUGCCAGCAGCCGCGGUAAUACGGAGGGUGCUAGCGUUAAUCAGAAUUACUGGGCGUAAAGAGCACGUAGGUGGUUUUUUUAAAGUCAGAUGUGAAAUCCCUGGGCUUAACCUGGAACUGCAUUUUGAAACUGAAAUACUAGAGUAUCGUAGAGGGAGGUAGAAUUCUAGGUGUAGCGGUGAAAUGCGUAGAUAUCUGGAGGAAUACCUGUGGCGAAAGCGGCCUCCUAAACGAAUACUGACACUGAGGGUGCGAAAAGCGUGGGGAGCAAACAGGGAUUAGAUACC